rnacentral:rRNA from 1 species
UGGGGAAUAUUGCACAAUGGGCGCAAGCUGAUGCAGCCAUGCCGCGUGUGUGAAGAAGGCCUUCGGGUUGUAAAGCACUUUCAGCGAGGAGGAAAGUUUAGUAGUUAAUACCUGCUAGAUGUGACGUUACUCGCAGAAGAAGGACCGGCUAACUCCGUG